rnacentral:lncRNA from 1 species
AACCUAUAAUACAAUGAAGUUCAAGAUCCGGUCAUGCUCACUGGCCACCACAUGGUUCAAGAUGUGAGCUGCAAAAACUGCAAUAGCAAACUGGGAUGGAUCUAUGAGUUUGCUACUGAAGACAGCCAGCGUUAUAGGGAAGGCCGUGUGAUCCUGGAACAUGCUCUAGUUCGAGAGAGUGAGGUCUUUGAGGAGCACGUACCACCUGAUAACUCUUGAAGAAAAAGAGAUAAAUCCAUCUUUUCCCAGGUCUCCUUCACUGAAAACAAAAAUCUACUUACAUACACUGUCACCUUAGCAUCAGAGUUGGAUUCAUGAACUGCGGAACAAGAGGUUGUGAGAAUCUAAGAUGGAACCUUUCUUUUCUUUUUUUUUUUAAUUUUGUAUUUUCCAUCCAACAGCAGUGUGUAGAGAGAAUAUUAUGCAGUUGCUGUUAACUUUUUUCCCCUAUGUUUACAUUUUGAGGCAGAAGAGUCUCUGCAGCUAAAUGGUGGGCUAUGGGAGUAAAAAAAUCUGGGCUAUUAGAGUGAAAAAAGUGUGUUUUAUGUAAAUUUUGAAUGGCAAAUAUGUGAAGAGCAUGGUUUUUAAACUUAUGUGGGCUUCAUUUUAAAGCCUUUUCUUAAAACAAAAACAAACAAACAAACAAACAAAAAACCCAGUUAUUUCACUUGAUUUGCUAGCUUCAGAGAAGAGAUCCGAAUCUGUGCCCAGCGCUAAAGGCUCAGUGUUAGCAUGGCUUGUGCUAGCCCGUGUGGUGUGCCAUAUUCUUGUUGGAGACGAACUGUAGCAGAGCCCAUUCUUCCUUGUCAAUCUUGACCCAAAGAUGUCACUAUUCCUAGUUACUUGUCACCACAUAACUGGUGGUUUAUGAUUGGAACCUUUUUCUGAAAUGG